rnacentral:rRNA from 1 species
UUUUAUGAGAGUUUGAUCCUGGCUCAGGACGAACGCUGGCGGCGUGCCUAAUACAUGCAAGUCGAACGCUUCUUUUUCCACCGGAGCUUGCUCCACCGGAAAAAGAAGAGUGGCGAACGGGUGAGUAACACGUGGGUAACCUGCCCAUCAGAAGGGGAUAACACUUGGAAACAGGUGCUAAUACCGUAUAACAAUCGAAACCACAUGGUUUUGAUUUGAAAGGCGCUUUCGGGU